CAGUAGCGCGGUAAUACGAAGGGGGCUAGCGUUGUUCGGAAUUACUGGGCGUAAAGGGCGCGUAGGCGGCCAUUCAAGUUAGAUGUGAAAGCCCUGGGCUUAACCUAGGAAUUGCAUUUGAUACUGUUUGGCUUGAGUUCGGGAGAGGUGAGUGGAAUUCCCAGUGUAGAGGUGAAAUUCGUAGAUAUUGGGAAGAACACCAGUGGCGAAGGCGGCUCACUGGACCGACACUGACGCUGAGGCGCGAAAGCGUGGGGAGCAAACAGGAUUAGAUACCCCUGUAGUCCCUGUCUCUUAUACA
rnacentral:rRNA from 1 species